GAGGAGCAGAAGGAGGGAAACAUGAGCAAGGAAGUCUGGACCAUGAGGGUAUGAGUUGACACCAUAUAAACUAGCCUUAUAUGAAAACAAACAUGAGAUGGAAGAGUUUUUAAUACAGAAUGUGACGGAGCAGCUGCGAAAGAGCCAGAACAGACAAAGGAAAGGCGCGCCAGCUUCAACAAAGAAGUAUGUUACAGUACUGACCCAAUUCCUUCUUGCAGUGGAGUACGACCACCAGGAGAGCUGAAAUCCAUACUGAAGGAUUCCUUCCAGAUCAGUGGAGCUCUCCUAACACCCUGAUGUUCCUGCAUCUAUAACAGAGGACAAGGGCAGUACCUCCGCUAUUAAGGAGGAUAUUGAAAACUCUUUCUCCAGUUACACAAACAUACGGGAACAAUUUUUAUAUUCUAACUAUAUCUCCUCAGUGAAGAAGAAGGACCAAGCAGUUCUUAGGAAAUCGGUGAUGAACCUAAGUUCUCUGGGAGAGGCAAUGCCUGAAUACUCUGGAAAAAAUCAUGCUUGAUGUUCCUCAGAGAGGAUGAGGACUCCCAUGGUUGAAGAAAAGAAGGCAGACACCUUCAUGCACCUGACAAGCAUGGCAUUGUGCCCCUGUCUCCUUCCCACACUGACUUGACAUCAUCCUCACGUGCAAGUGACAGAAGUGACACUCUUCAGGCAUCUGAGAAAAUUACAAUUCACAACACCACUCUGGAUUACACACGUUCUUUAGGUCACGCUUUGGACCCUCCUCAGAAGGCUAGUGUACGUGUUCCUGCUGCAAACCCAGCCGACUACACCUGUAGUACAAUGAAUGCUCACUCCAAGUCUCUUCCACUUUGGGCAGCAACCAUGCCAAUUUUACUGCUAAAAUCUUCAAUAUGGUUUCUGAAAUUCUUGGCAUUGGUGAUGGCAUGGGUAUUUUACCUAAUUUGGCAAGUGCUGUGCAGUUAAAAUUACCAUGAGCUUAAGAAGGUAAGUUAGACAGUAGCAGUGGUUUAAAAUAGAUGAAGAUUUUUGUACUAGAAAUCCAGUUCUUCUUGGCUCUAAUAUGUAUGUUAAAUCAAUUUUGUGCUGUGUAUAGUACCCUUUAGGCAUUAUCUAAAACUAAAAAAAAAUGCUCAUCUUUUCCAAUCAUAUUGGAAAUACAUCACAUAAAAGUAACAAAAUCAGUUUAGUCCAACCAAACUGAUCAAGUAAAGUUGGUAGGUUCACAGUUGUUUCCAUUGCUGGAAUGAGGGAAUAAUUUCCACUCCUAAUGUGAAACUUAUGUUUUCUAAAUGGUUAAGCAGAGAAGUGUAACUGUUAAGUAUUAAUUUUUAUUUUUCUGUGUCCAUACACUGUGACUUACAUGGAUAGCAUUAUUUUAUAAACCAUCACCCCCCAAAGAAGCAACAUCUGAGAAUAAAACCAAUGUAAUAAGAACUAAGACUCCACAUUCUCACCCCUUCUCAAAUACAAAGAUAUUCAUUGUGACAUGACACUACAUAAGAUUCUACUGGUGAUGCCUCUGUUACUGCUCAUCCUAAUGAUGCCAACAAUGAUGUUUUUGAUGCAACUGAUAAUUCUUGCUUUUCUGUUUAGUUGCUUCUGAAGGACCUAUGAGGAGCUACUCACAUGAAGUGACAAUGUCGGGAAUAUUUUUCAAAAUAUAGAAAUUUUAAUGUUAAAUAUUUCUUUGAAAGUUGACACAGACUAUGUAGAAUGCUGUAUGUAAGUUUAUAAUAGUUUCCAUUAAAAUGUCUUAUGAAAAUAUUUUAAACUGUUUCUUGGUAUUGUACAAACUGAUGAUAUGACCUUUUGGUGACGUGUUUAAAGAGUGGCAUUAAGGAGAAAUAAAAGCACUUCCACUGGGA